CUGAGAAACAUUGAUUUUAUUUACAUGACCUGUACAAAAAACAAAACAAAAAAAUAGACAUGUAAACUGGAUUAAUUACUCAAUAUUUACAAAAUAUAAUCCAAUUGUUAUUAAAAGUACAAAAAAAAAUCUGCAAAAAAAUGCAUUUGAAGUAUGAAAUUGUAUUUUUGCAGCAGUUUUACAACACUUAAAGUUACAUUUUAUUGUCACAAUUCAUCCAACGGAUUAAUUCAAUGAUUAAUAACAGGACAUAUUACACAGAUUAACAGGAGGUGGGCUCAGGUUUGGCGCAGUGAGCUGUGGGAGACAAAGUCAUUAAAGAUUGUGUUAAACAUUCCUUGCUGAAUAAAAUAUGAAUAUCACCCAAAAAAACAAAAAUAAAGAAUCACUUAAAGGUUUGCCAAAAUUCACAUUUUUUCCAGGCAUCACAAAUUCUACUCUACACUCAUGUGAAAGGCAGAGGACUCUGACCAGUUAAAAAAAACUCUAUUGCCAUACCAGCACAAAAAUCAUUUAGAAUUUCUCCAUGCCAGGUUUAAAAUUAAUAAAUGUCAGAUAUGUUUUUUAUUGCAAACACUCGGUAACUGUUUGCCCAGGUGAGAAAAAAAACAAACAUACAUACAAAAACAUUAGUACAAGAAAUGGAAUUCAAAAAAAAUAAAUAAAGCAUAGCACCUAAAAAUAAAUAUUGAUUAUUUAAAAAGAGGGGAAAAACACCCUUCUUGUUAUUAAGAGUAAGGCAAACAUUCCAAAACUGAUGCAGGAGUCUUAAAAAAAAUGCCAAGAUGUGACAACAGCAGAUUUGGGGAAAUUGUCUAAAUCGCUUAUUUAUGUAAAUGUUUUGUAAUUCAAUUCACUAGAAUUUGAGGUUUAGUAAAUAAUCUCCAUAUAAAUCAUUAACCAUUGAGCUUAAUCUUGUAUCAUCAGACUCAUAUUGUAGAAGGAGGGUGCUCGAAUAGGACACACUUUCGUAGCAGAAAAAACAAAACAAUUACUGAAUUACGGGGAAAUGGCUUUUUUAUCCAGGACACCAUUAUUUGCGCAGGAAAACACAAUCAAUGUUUUUCACUAAAAUGAGAAUUGUCAGGGAUUCACAGAGAAUUCAUAUUGAAGGUCCAUGAAGAUGACUGGAAGCAUGGCGGACUUAAUAGAACCUAUCAGUCAUUUGCUUUGGCCUUAAAUGUAAAAUUAUCUUUGAAUUCCUGACAAUUGUUACUUCACUGAAUAAUCGUGAAUGGAUUUGGUAAUCAUUCACUGGGGAAAUAAUUCUCACCUGCAGGUCUCCUCCAAUUUGUCUGGAGCUGCUGGUAGUUAAGGUAAAUUUACAGACAUUUAUAAUGUGAGUUUCGCAAUCCAAACAUGUUCAUACCGAUCUGGUUUUUCACUCAACUGCAAAUUGUGGCAGAGACUCCAAAAAAGGAUUGGCAGAGAAUUGAUAAAGGAAUUGCAACUAUUAGUUCAAAAUAUCUAAACAGGAAA